rnacentral:piRNA from 1 species
UGGACAUGAAGUCAGGGUCUUCAACCUGGU